UUACCUAGCGGGGCUACCCACUGAGUUUAAGCAUAUCAAUAAGUAAAGGAAAAGAAACUUACAAGGAUUCCCCUAGUAAUGAGCACCCUCGGUGUUUGAAUUGUAGUCUGAAUAAGCAUCGUCAACGGCGGACCAAGCUCAAGUCCCCUCGAAGGGGCCACCUGAGAGGGUGAGAGCCCCAUCGUGCCUGGACCCUUUCGGACCAUGAGGCGCUAUCGGUGAGUUGGAUUGUUUAGGAAUGCAGCCUAAAUAGGGCAGUAAAUUUGUUCCAAGGCUAAAUGUGGGCAAGAGAUCAAGGGCAAAUAAGUACCGUGAGGGAAAGAUGAAAAAGACUUUGAAAAGAAAGUCAAAGAGUGCUUGAAAUUGUAGGGAGGGGACCGAAUAGGGGCCGACAAUGCGCCUCACUCGAAUGCAAAAUAGUGAGAGCCAGUCUGCCGAUCAACUCAGGACACAGACUGAUGCAAAUUACGAUGGUGGCCCAAGCCCGGGCUGUACAAAUGCCAAUGAAGACGUUGUCACCCUGAUCAUGGUUGGCAGUGUGCACUAUCACGGGGUGCUUCGGCACCUGCGUGCUCCUGGCAUUGACCUAUGGGCUCCCCAUUUGGCAUCUCUUGAAACACGGAGGAGUCUGACAUGUGUGUGAGUCAAUAAGCCAGUAAACCUGUAAGGCACAAGGAAGCUGAAUGGUGGGAUCCCCACACGGGUUGCACCGCCAACCGACCUUGAUCUUUUAGGAAGGGUUCGAGUGAGAGCAUGCCUAUUGGGACCCGAAAGAUGGUGAACUAUGCCUAAACGGGGUAAAGCCAGAGGAAACUUUGGUGGAGGCUCACAGCAAUACUGAUGUGCAAAUCGUUCGUCUGACUUGGGUAUCUAGGCGAAAGACUAAUCGACCGUCUAGUAGAUGGUUCCCUCCGAAGUUUCCCUCAGGAUAGUUGGAGCCCGCAGACGAGUUCUAUCGGGUAAAGCCAAUGAUUAGAGGCAUCGAGGGCCCAAUUCCCUUGACCUAUUCUCAAACUUUAAAUAGGUAGGAUGGAGCGGCUGCUCCAUUGAGCCGUGCUACAGAAUUGAGAGCUCCAAGUGGGCCAUUUUUGGUAAGUAGAACUAGCGAUGUGGGAUGAACCGCAAGCUAGGUUAUAGUGCCCAACUAUGUGCUAACCUAGAACCCACAAAGGGUGUUGGGCGAUUAAGAUAGCAGGAUAGUGGUCAUGGAAGUCGAAAUCUGCUCAUGAGUGUGGAACAACUCAUCUACCGAAUCAACUAGCCCUAAAAAUGGAUGGCGCUGAAGCGCGCUAGGCCCCGGUGAGUAGGAGGGCACGGCGGUCGGUACAGAUCUUGGUGGUAAUAGUAAAUAUUCAAAUGAGAACUUUGAAGGCUAAAGAGGGGAAAGGUUCCAUGUGAACGACACUUGCACAUGGGUUAGUCGAUCCUAAAAACUGGGGGAAGCCCAUCUGAUAGCACGAUCAACUAGAAUUUCGAAUGGGAAUCAAGUUAAAAUUCCUGAACCGGGAUGUGGCAACUGACGGCAACGUUAGGGAGUCCAGAGAUGUCAGCGAGGGCUUGGGAAAAAGUUAUAUUUUCUGUUUAACAGCCUGCCCACCCUAGAAACGACUCAGUCGUAGGUAGGGUCUAGUAGCUAGAAGAGCACCGUACGUCGCGUGGUGUCAAGUGCACCCCUGGCAGCCCUUGAAAAUCUAGAGGAUCAAGUGCCUCCCACACCCGGUCGUACUCAUAACCGCAUCAGAUCUUCAAAGUGAAUAGACUCUGGCCAAUGGAACAAUGUAGGCAAGGGAAGUCAAAAAAAUGGAUUCGUAAAAGGAUUGGCUCUAAGUGCUGGGCAUGGGGGUCCCAAUCCUGAAACCAUCGAUUGUCGAUGGACUGCUCGAGCUACUCCCGCGGUGAGAGUGGUUCAUCGCGUGCUGACUGGGGGAUGAACUAGGAAAAGGUCCCUUUGGGGGCCCUUCCCCAAGCGUCGAACAAUCGAUUCAGAACUGGUACAGACAAGGGGAAUCUGACUUUUUAAUUAAAACAAUGCAUUGUGAUGGUCCCUGCGGAUGCUCACCAGUGCACUGAAUGUUAAAGUGAAGAAAUUCAAACUAGCGCGGGUAAAUGGCGGGUGUAAAUAUGACUCUCUUAAGGUAGCCAAAUGCCUUGUCAUCUAAUUAGUGAUGUGCAUGAAUGGAUUAAUGAGAUUCAAACUAUCCCUAUCUACUAUGCAGCAAAACCACAGCCAAAGGAACUGGCUUGGCAGAAUCAGUGGGGAAAGAAGACCCUGUUGAGCUUGACUCUAAUCCGACUUUGUGAAAUGACUUGAGAGGUGUAGUAUAAGUGGGAGCCGACAAUGGCGAAAGUGAAAUACCACCACUUUUAACGUUAUUUUACUUAUUCCAUGAAUCGGAAGUGGGGCACUACCCCUCUUUUUGGACCCAAAGCCUGCCUCAACUGGCCGAUCUGAGUGGAAGACAUUGUCAGGUGGGGAGUUUGGUUGGGGUGACACAUCUGUUAAAAGAUAAGCUCAACAAGAAUAGAAAUCUCAUGUGGAACAAAGGGGUAAAAGCUUGUUUGAUUCUGAUUUUUUGUAUGAAUACGAACCGUGAAAGUGUUGCCUAUCGAUCCUUUAGACCUUUUGGAAUUUGAAGCUAGAGGUGUCAAAAAAGUUACCACAGGGAUAACUGGCUUGUGGCAGCCAAGUGUUCAUAGCGACGUUGCCUUUUAAUCUUUCGAUGUUGGCUCUUCCUAUCAUUGUGAAGCAGAAUUCACCAAGUGUUUGAUUGUUCACCCACCAAUAGGGAACAUGAGUUGGGUUUAGACCACCGUGAGACAAGUUAGUUUUACCCUACUGAUGAUAGUGUCACAAUAGUAAUUCAAUCUAGUACGAGAGGAACUGUGGAUUAGCACAAUUAGCCAUCGCGCUUGGUUGAAAAGCAAGUGGUGUAAAGCCACCGUGUGCUAGAUUAUGACUGAACGCUCUAAGUUAGAAUCCGGGCUAGAAGCGAUGUAUGAACUCGCCGCUUGUUUUCUGACCCGCUGUAGGGGCCUUGGUCCCUAAAGGCACGUGUCGUUGGCCAAGCCCGUGUGGUGGACAUGCCGUUCGAGUGGCCUUGAAGUUCAAUUCCUACAGAGCGGUGGGUAGAAU
rnacentral:rRNA from 1 species